UGAGGAAUAUUGGUCAAUGGGCGAAAGCCUGAACCAGCAACGCCGCGUGAGGGAUGAAGGCCUUGGGUCGUAAACCUCUUUUCUGGGAGACGAGACAAGGACGGUAUCCCAGGAAUAAGUCUCGGCUAACUACUUGCCAGCAGCCGCGGUAAAACGUAGGAGGCAAGCGUUAUCCGGAUUUACUGGGCGUAAAGCGCACGCAGGCGGCUGCGUAAGUCGGACGUGAAAGCUCCUGGCUCAACAGGGAGAGGUCGUUCGAAACUGCGCGGCUUGAGGUUGGAAGAGGAGAGCGGAAUUCCCGGUGUAGUGGUGGAAUGCGUAGAUAUCGGGAGGAACACCAGUGGCGAAAGCGGCUCUCUGGUCCACACCUGACGCUCAGGUGCGAAAGCGUGGGUAGCGAAC
rnacentral:rRNA from 1 species